rnacentral:rRNA from 1 species
AUUGAACGCUGGCGGCAUGCCUUACACAUGCAAGUCGAACGGCAGCACGGGCUUCGGCCUGGUGGCGAGUGGCGAACGGGUGAGUAAUGUAUCGGAACGUACCCUUCAGUGGGGGAUAACGUAGCGAAAGCUAGGCUAAUACCGCAUACUCUGUGAGGGGGAAAGCAGGGGAUCGAAAGACCUCGCGCUGUUUGAGCGGCCGAUGUCAGAUUAGCUAGUUGGUGGGGUAAAGGCUUACCAAGGCGACGAUCCGUAGCGGGUCUGAGAGGAUGAUCCGCCACACUGGAACUGAGACACGGUCCAGACUCCUACGGGAGGCAGCAGUGGGGAAUUUUGGACAAUGGGGGCAACCCUGAUCCAGCCAUGCCGCGUGAGUGAAGAAGGCCUUCGGGUUGUAAAGCUCUUUCGGCCGGGAAGAAAUCGUAUGGGCUAAUACCCUGUGGGGAUGACGGUACCGGAAUAAGAAGCACCGGCUAACUACGUG